rnacentral:sRNA from 2 species
CUGUUGCAAUUAUUUGUGAAGCUUCAAGAGGAGUUUCUGUUCUUUUAGUAAAUGUAUACUCUUUUCUUUGCAUUAUAGUGGCUGCUAAUACUUUAUAGUUGCUUCAAAUACCAUCUCAUGUAUGUCUAUUGCUGCUUCUGUCUUCAAUUCUUUUGCAACUUAUUCAUUCUUCUCUGCUUCUGCUUUCACUUUCACCCUUCUGUUUCUUUCUUCACUUUCUGUUGAGUGAGUGUCUGCCACUUGUUCUUGUAGAGGUUCAGACACUCACUCCACUGUUUUACCCACUCUCACCUCAUUCUCCCUCAUUCUGAUUGAUUUUUCUCCACAUACACAUUUUUAUUGUUUUAUUGGGCUUUCUGCAAAUCUUCUCAUUGAGAAUAUCAAAUCAGUACAUCAGACUCUUCAUGAGAUGGAGGUGUGCUCUGCACUUCUACACACUCAUUUUGAGAUCUUGAAGUUCUUGAUACAGAUCAAGUUUUAAUUUUUGUUGUAUACAAAUUGUUUCUGAAGGUGUUGAGCUGGAGUGUUUCAUUGAUAUACACCUUUUUCUUUUCUUUAUUCUUGUGAUAUCCAUGUAUUUUUAGAA